GAUGGGGUAGUUUAAAAAAAUAUGAGGUUGUCAUUCUCAAGAUGCUUAAAAAGUUCCUAUCU
rnacentral:tRNA from 2 species